CUCACUGGUAUGUGCCAUUUCACGGUAAAAGUUUGGGAGAAAACUAUUUCCUGAUCCGAAAUGCAGUGGACCGCUUUUACAGAGACUGCCUUUUAAUACUUGAUGUUAUAUGCAUGUAGGAUACAGACCAAAUAGAAUAAAAAAUUGAACGGUUGCAAAAAUUCUUAUAAAUUCCAUUCACACUUCGUCGAUCGAUACGAUUUACAUAGUUUCGUUAAAUUGCGGCCCAUUCGUUGUAAGUGCAAAAUAAUCAAUGUUUCAUUCAUAUUUGUAACAAUUUGCAACAUAAAAAUGAUAUUCUCGAUCGAUAUUUUUUCGAAUUGUGUCUGAAUAUAAAAAGAUCGUAUUCUAUGGGAGUGGGGGAAACACAGCUUUUGACAUUUUGCAAUAGUUUUGAUAUGAACAAAUUAAUUCCGUGGGGGUGGGGGUAACAUAGUCGGUCCACAAGGGUUACAUAGCUGGUCCAUGCAAAGUCUUAGGGUUUUGGCAGGCAUCGCCGCUAUUAAUUUUUUUGCCUGCAAGAAAUUUUGCCCGAUAAUCGAAAGGCGAUGCC